ACUUCUGUUUUACAACCGCUUGAUGUCUGCCUAAACACACCCUUUAAAGAAUCUGCAAAAUAUGGUCAGACUGAAUGUGUUAAAGCAUGGCAAAGUUGACAAAAGGCAGGAAUCUUAUGAAGCCCAAAAUCAAGUGAGUUGCCCAUUGGGUCAAGGAUGUGUGGGAAUUAAUUCCCUUAGAAAGUAUAGAAAAAUCAUUUUGCAAAUACUGCAUCAGCAAUGCACUUGAUUGGUCAGAAAAUUAUGACAUAUUUGCUGAUGACACAAUGGAGGCUGAUAAGGAAUCUGAGUCUGAGGUUUACACUGGUGUCAUCUAUGAUGACUAUGCAGGAGCAGCUAUGACUGAAGCCCAAUUAAAUGGUCUGUUUGGCAAAUUGGAGACUGAUUAACACUUGGAAGGAUUUAAAGUCUUUUUAAGUGCAGUAAAGUAAUAUGAGACUUUAAAACAUGAACUGCAAUUUUGAAGGCAUGUGAAGUCCAUCAUGCCAUGAAACUGUGACAAUGCCAGCUGAGAGUCAAAUUCCCACUAGCGGCAUGUCUCAAGUUUAUUUUACAAUAGUCAGCGAUGGGGAUUCUACUGCAAUACUGGCAUCGCCAUUGCGGGAGGUCAACAGGAGAAGCUAUCCUGUCCACUUUUCCUACUCCUUGUGACCCUGUGGAGUAUACCAGGAUUGAAGGGGGUACCAUCAGCUGUCAAUUUAGUGGGUCCUUUAGACCCACCAAAGUGAAUACUGGAAAAGCAAUCUCUGGAGUGUCCAUCUCUGGGCCACCAGCCUGGAUGGGAAAAUAAUUCUGAAACUCAAAGGAAUCCAUUGUUGGUAAUUUGGCUGCUGCAUUGAAGUAUCUAUACAGGCUCUCCUAUGCCAUAUAUGCAAUAAAAAAUGAGUAACCGAAGUGAAAAACCAUAAGCCAAUCUGUGGGGUGCACAGCACUUUUGAACAUCAGGCUAUUUAUUUAAGAGCAUUAGCUUUGGACUGUUGUUUUUAAAAAAUUUUAGCAAUAAAAAUCAUUUACAAUCUUUACAAUUACAUGAAGUGUGUAAAGUUAUUAUUUAGAUUGCUACAAAUUGAUAUCGUUAGGAAUUAAGGUUGAAAAAUGUGUGACUGAAUAGCACCAAAAAACUGACACUGACAUGUUCGACGGUGGAAUAAUUUCACAAAACUACACUAGAAAAAAAAGUGAAAACAUGCUGUCCGUACCAGUGCUCUACAGGGGGCACUUACAUGGUGAUGGGCACAAUCCGAACUUAAGUCAUAUGGACUGGAGGAUUACAUAUUAACUUCCCAUUCCUCAUUUUUAACUUUUGAUUCACAAAAAAUAUCAGCAAGAAGAGGCUAUCCAAAACUUCCCUAUUCAUUUUUUUCCUCAAACUAGAACACAAGGUAGAUAACCUGGAAUCUUCACAGAGAUGAAAACAACUCACUCACAUCCUCUGUCCUGCUCUCGCUGAGUGAUGGAAUUAAGACUGGGUGAACUGAGCAUCCAAAUGUCCUCCCUACUAACCUUGUAGAAUGUAUCCAGAGAAGAUAAAUGGCUUCCAUAAAAUCAUGUGAGAUUGGGGGAGCCCCUAGCAAUAUGGCAUUAAUAGGA